CCUACGGGCGGCAGCAGUCGAGAAUCAUUCACAAUGGGGGAAACCCUGAUGGUGCGACGCCGCGUGGGGGAAUGAAGGUCUUCGGAUUGUAAACCCCUGUCAUGUGGGCGCAAAUUAAAAAGAUAGUACCACAAGAGGAAGAGACGGCUAACUCUGUGCCAGCAGCCGCGGUAAUACAGAGGUCUCAAGCGUUGUUCGGAAUCACUGGGCGUAAAGCGUGCGUAGGCUGUUUCGUAAGUCGUGUGUGAAAGGCGCGGGCUCAACCCGCGGACGGCACAUGAUACUGCGAGACUAGAGUAAGGGAGGGGGAACCGGAAUUCUCGGUGUAGCAGUGAAAUGCGUAGAUAUCGAGAGGAACACUCGUGGCGAAGGCGGGUUCCUGGACAUUAACUGACGCUGAGGCACGAAGGCCAGGGGAGCGAAAGGGAUUAGAUACCCUUGUAGUC
rnacentral:rRNA from 1 species